rnacentral:rRNA from 1 species
ACGCUCGACACCUACGGGAGACAGCAGUGGGGAAUAUUGCACAAUGGGGGGAACCCUGAUGCAGCGACGCCGCGUGAGUGAAGAAGUACUUCGGUAUGUAAAGCUCUAUCAGCAGGGAAGAAAAUGACGGUACCUGACUAAGAAGCCCCGGCUAACUACGUGCCAGCAGCCGCGGUAAUCUGAGGCGGGCUGGCGAAGGC